GCCUACUGUUUGAUUAACCAGCUUUGGAUUAAUACGCUGGAUAACAUUUUUAAAACCAAACUAAAUGGAAACCGGUUAUUCUGAAAUAUGUGAAUUCUAUUUACUCUCUGAGUUAGUUGAUAUAACUGUCCUUAGCGUACUUUACCUUUUUUCUGUUGUCUUCAAAUCACAUUUCCAGACUGCAGACAUUCAGAGUAGAACCUCCAGAGCUCAGUUGUGUGCCUAUGAAGAGCAACUGCUCGAUGGAUGACCCGUCUAGUUUCAGUAAUGAAAGAAGCACCACUGACUUGAGACUGCAGACAUUCAGAGCAGAACCUCCAGAGCCCAGCUGUGUGUCUAUGAAGAGCAGCUGCUCGAUGUAUGAGCCUCCUGAAUUCAGUAAUGAAAGAAGCAGUGUUGACUUCAGACUGCAGACAUUCAGAGCAGAACAUCCAGAGCCCAGCUGUGUGUCUAUGAAGAGCAACCACUCGAUGUAUGAGCCUCCUAAAUUCACUAAUGAAAGAAGCAGUGCUGACUUUAGGUGAGAUCUUAAUACAAUGUGAACACAACAGGCCUUUAUAGCACAGAGUGAAGUAUAAAAAUGAGGAGAGUGCAGAUAAACUAAACCGAG
rnacentral:lncRNA from 1 species